GGGUUGUGAGGUUAAGCGACUAAGCGUACACGGUGGAUGCCCUGGCAGUCAGAGGCGAUGAAGGACGUGCUAAUCUGCGAUAAGCGUCGGUAAGGUGAUAUGAACCGUUAUAACCGGCGAUUUCCGAAUGGGGAAACCCAGUGUGUUUCGACACACUAUCAUUAACUGAAUCCAUAGGUUAAUGAGGCGAACCGGGGGAACUGAAACAUCUAAGUACCCCGAGGAAAAGAAAUCAACCGAGAUUCCCCCAGUAGCGGCGAGCGAACGGGGAGCAGCCCAGAGCCUGAAUCAGUGUGUGUGUUAGUGGAAGCGUCUGGAAAGGCGCGCGAUACAGGGUGACAGCCCCGUACACAAAAAUGCACAUGCUGUGAGCUCGAUGAGUAGGGCGGGACACGUGGUAUCCUGUCUGAAUAUGGGGGGACCAUCCUCCAAGGCUAAAUACUCCUGACUGACCGAUAGUGAACCAGUACCGUGAGGGAAAGGCGAAAAGAACCCCGGCGAGGGGAGUGAAAAAGAACCUGAAACCGUGUACGUACAAGCAGUGGGAGCACGCUUAGGCGUGUGACUGCGUACCUUUUGUAUAAUGGGUCAGCGACUUAUAUUCUGUAGCAAGGUUAACCGAAUAGGGGAGCCGAAGGGAAACCGAGUCUUAACUGGGCGUUAAGUUGCAGGGUAUAGACCCGAAACCCGGUGAUCUAGCCAUGGGCAGGUUGAAGGUUGGGUAACACUAACUGGAGGACCGAACCGACUAAUGUUGAAAAAUUAGCGGAUGACUUGUGGCUGGGGGUGAAAGGCCAAUCAAACCGGGAGAUAGCUGGUUCUCCCCGAAAGCUAUUUAGGUAGCGCCUCGUGAAUUCAUCUCCGGGGGUAGAGCACUGUUUCGGCAAGGGGGUCAUCCCGACUUACCAACCCGAUGCAAACUGCGAAUACCGGAGAAUGUUAUCACGGGAGACACACGGCGGGUGCUAACGUCCGUCGUGAAGAGGGAAACAACCCAGACCGCCAGCUAAGGUCCCAAAGUCAUGGUUAAGUGGGAAACGAUGUGGGAAGGCCCAGACAGCCAGGAUGUUGGCUUAGAAGCAGCCAUCAUUUAAAGAAAGCGUAAUAGCUCACUGGUCGAGUCGGCCUGCGCGGAAGAUGUAACGGGGCUAAACCAUGCACCGAAGCUGCGGCAGCGACGCUGAUGCGUUGUUGGGUAGGGGAGCGUUCUGUAAGCCUGCGAAGGUGUGCUGUGAGGCAUGCUGGAGGUAUCAGAAGUGCGAAUGCUGACAUAAGUAACGAUAAAGCGGGUGAAAAGCCCGCUCGCCGGAAGACCAAGGGUUCCUGUCCAACGUUAAUCGGGGCAGGGUGAGUCGACCCCUAAGGCGAGGCCGAAAGGCGUAGUCGAUGGGAAACAGGUUAAUAUUCCUGUACUUGGUGUUACUGCGAAGGGGGGACGGAGAAGGCUAUGUUGGCCGGGCGACGGUUGUCCCGGUUUAAGCGUGUAGGCUGGUUUUCCAGGCAAAUCCGGAAAAUCAAGGCUGAGGCGUGAUGACGAGGCACUACGGUGCUGAAGCAACAAAUGCCCUGCUUCCAGGAAAAGCCUCUAAGCAUCAGGUAACAUCAAAUCGUACCCCAAACCGACACAGGUGGUCAGGUAGAGAAUACCAAGGCGCUUGAGAGAACUCGGGUGAAGGAACUAGGCAAAAUGGUGCCGUAACUUCGGGAGAAGGCACGCUGAUAUGUAGGUGAAGUCCCUCGCGGAUGGAGCUGAAAUCAGUCGAAGAUACCAGCUGGCUGCAACUGUUUAUUAAAAACACAGCACUGUGCAAACACGAAAGUGGACGUAUACGGUGUGACGCCUGCCCGGUGCCGGAAGGUUAAUUGAUGGGGUCAGCGCAAGCGAAGCUCUUGAUCGAAGCCCCGGUAAACGGCGGCCGUAACUAUAACGGUCCUAAGGUAGCGAAAUUCCUUGUCGGGUAAGUUCCGACCUGCACGAAUGGCGUAAUGAUGGCCAGGCUGUCUCCACCCGAGACUCAGUGAAAUUGAACUCGCUGUGAAGAUGCAGUGUACCCGCGGCAAGACGGAAAGACCCCGUGAACCUUUACUAUAGCUUGACACUGAACAUUGAGCCUUGAUGUGUAGGAUAGGUGGGAGGCUUUGAAGUGUGGACGCCAGUCUGCAUGGAGCCGACCUUGAAAUACCACCCUUUAAUGUUUGAUGUUCUAACGUUGACCCGUAAUCCGGGUUGCGGACAGUGUCUGGUGGGUAGUUUGACUGGGGCGGUCUCCUCCUAAAGAGUAACGGAGGAGCACGAAGGUUGGCUAAUCCUGGUCGGACAUCAGGAGGUUAGUGCAAUGGCAUAAGCCAGCUUGACUGCGAGCGUGACGGCGCGAGCAGGUGCGAAAGCAGGUCAUAGUGAUCCGGUGGUUCUGAAUGGAAGGGCCAUCGCUCAACGGAUAAAAGGUACUCCGGGGAUAACAGGCUGAUACCGCCCAAGAGUUCAUAUCGACGGCGGUGUUUGGCACCUCGAUGUCGGCUCAUCACAUCCUGGGGCUGAAGUAGGUCCCAAGGGUAUGGCUGUUCGCCAUUUAAAGUGGUACGCGAGCUGGGUUUAGAACGUCGUGAGACAGUUCGGUCCCUAUCUGCCGUGGGCGCUGGAGAACUGAGGGGGGCUGCUCCUAGUACGAGAGGACCGGAGUGGACGCAUCACUGGUGUUCGGGUUGUCAUGCCAAUGGCACCGCCCGGUAGCUAAAUGCGGAAGAGAUAAGUGCUGAAAGCAUCUAAGCACGAAACUUGCCCCGAGAUGAGUUCUCCCUGACUCCUUGAGAGUCCUGAAGGAACGUUGAAGACGACGACGUUGAUAGGCCGGGUGUGUAAGCGCAGCGAUGCGUUGAGCUAACCGGUACUAAUGAACCGUGAGGCUUAACCUUACAACGCCGAAGCUGUU
rnacentral:rRNA from 1 species